rnacentral:rRNA from 2 species
GGAUGCGAUCAUACCAGCACUAAAGCACCGGAUCCCAUCAGAACUCCGAAGUUAAGCAUGCUUGGGCGAGAGUAGUACUAGGAUGGGUGACCUCCUGGGAAGUCCUCGUGUUGCAAUCC